CUUUUUCAUUUCUUUGUCUUGUAAGGGAGGUUGUUAGCUAGAAGAUUUUUGAAGUUUGGUUUUCAGCUGGGCUAUCUUUUCAACACUCUCUUUUCCGGCCAUCGUAGAUUGUUUUAGGGAGUGGCAUUGGAUCUCAUUUUUUUGGGCUUAAGCUAAUAUCAGAUCUUGAGUGAUAGACCGGCGUUGAUCUUGAAAGAUUGUCUGUAGAUGUCUUAUCCUGUUGUAAAUUUUAAGUUCUUGUUAUUGUCUAUACAUCCCUGUAUUUUGUAUUUUGGACUUCUGUAUCCCGAUUUUGUGUACUUUGUA